rnacentral:rRNA from 1 species
GGACGAACGCUGGCGGCGUGCCUAACACAUGCAAGUCGAACGGAGCUGAGAAGCUUGCUUUCAGCUUAGUGGCGGACGGGUGAGUAACGCGUGAGUAACCUGCCUCCGAGAGUGGAAUAACGUUUUGAAAAGAACGCUAAUACCGCAUAACGUAUCAGUAUCGCAUGGUAUUGAUACCAAAGAUUUAUCGCUCGGAGAUGGACUCGCGUCCGAUUAGUUAGUUGGUGAGGUAACGGCUCACCAAGACCGCGAUCGGUAGCCGGACUGAGAGGUUGAUCGGCCACAUUGGGACUGAGACACGGCCCAGACUCCUACGGGAGGCAGCAGUGGGGGAUAUUGCGCAAUGGGGGCAACCCUGACGCAGCAACGCCGCGUGAAGGAUGAAGGUUUUCGGAUUGUAAACUUCUUUUAUCAGGGACGAAAAACGACGGUACCUGAUGAAUAAGCUCCGGCUAACUACGUGCCAGCAGCCGC